UACGUAGGGGGCAAGCGUUGUCCGGAAUCAUUGGGCGUAAAGCGCGCGUAGGUGGCCCUGUAAGUCCGUUGUGAAAGUCAAAGGCUCAACCUUUGAAAGCCGAUGGAUACUGCAGGACUAGAGUACGGAAGAGGCGAGUGGAAUUCCUGGUGUAGCGGUGGAAUGCGCAGAUAUCAGGAGGAACACCAAUAGCGAAGGCAGCUCGCUGGGACGUUACUGACACUGAGGCGCGAAAGCGUGGGGAGCGAACAGG
rnacentral:rRNA from 1 species